rnacentral:snRNA from 1 species
AACUCAUACCGGCCUUUUGGCUAAGAUCAAGUGUAGUAUCUAUUCUUAUUAAUUUAAUAUCUGAUAUGUGGGCCAUGUGUUUACAAUGAUAUUAAAUUUAUUUUUUGUGGGAAGGGCUCACCACAGUGGCUUGCCAUUGGGGCCCUUAGGUGUCGCCCAGUGCGCUGCACUAUUGCCUGGGCAGGCGCAUCCCAA